rnacentral:rRNA from 1 species
UACGGAGGCCUCGAGCGUUAGGCGGAAUCACUGGGCUUAAAGCGUGUGUAGGCGGACUUCUAAGUCCCUUGUGAAAUCCCACGGCUUACCCGUGGAACGGCUGGGUAUACUGGGAGUCUUGAGCCACCUAGGGGCGAGUGGAACAAAUGGUGGAGCGGUGAAAUGCGUAGAUAUCAUUUGGAACGCCAAUGGUGAAAACAACUCGCUGGGGGUGUGCUGACGCUGAGACACGAAAGCCAGGGGAGCGAACGGG